GAGUCUUAAUUGGGCGUUAAGUUGCAGGGUAUAGACCCGAAACCCGGUGAUCUAGCCAUGGGCAGGUUGAAGGUUGGGUAACACUAACUGGAGGACCGAACCGACUAAUGUUGAAAAAUUAGCGGAUGACCUGUGGCUGGGGGUGAAAGGCCAAUCAAACCGGGAGAUAGCUGGUUCUCCCCGAAAGCUAUUUAGGUAGCGCCUCGUGAAUUCAUCUCCGGGGGUAGAGCACUGUUUCGGCUAGGGGGCCAUCCCGGCUUACCAACCCGAUGCAAACUGCGAAUACCGGAGAAUGUUAUCACGGGAGACACACGGCGGGUGCUAACGUCCGUCGUGAAGAGGGAAACAACCCAGACCGCCAGCUAAGGUCCCAAAGUCAUGGUUAAGUGGGAAACGAUGUGGGAAGGCCCAGACAGCCAGGAUGUUGGCUUAGAAGCAGCCAUCAUUUAAAGAAAGCGUAAUAGCUCACUGGUCGAGUCGGCCUGCGCGGAAGAUGUAACGGGGCUAAACCAUGCACCGAAGCUGCGGCAGCGACACUCAGGUGUUGUUGGGUAGGGGAGCGUUCUGUAAGCCUGUGAAGGUGGCCUGUGAGGGUUGCUGGAGGUAUCAGAAGUGCGAAUGCUGACAUAAGUAACGAUAAAGCGGGUGAAAAGCCCGCUCGCCGGAAGACCAAGGGUUCCUGUCCAACGUUAAUCGGGGCAGGGUGAGUCGACCCCUAAGGCGAGGCCGAAAGGCGUAGUCGAUGGGAAACGGGUUAAUAUUCCCGUACUUGGUGUUACUGCGAAGGGGGGACGGAGAAGGCUAUGUUGGCCGGGCGACGGUUGUCCCGGUUUAAGCGUGUAGGUGUGUGUUCCAGGUAAAUCCGGUUCACUUUAACACUGAGGCGUGAUGACGAGGCACUACGGUGCUGAAGCAACAAAUGCCCUGCUUCCAGGAAAAGCCUCUAAGCAUCAGGUAACAUCAAAUCGUACCCCAAACCGACACAGGUGGUCAGGUAGAGAAUACCAAGGCGCUUGAGAGAACUCGGGUGAAGGAACUAGGCAAAAUGGUGCCGUAACUUCGGGAGAAGGCACGCUGACACGUAGGUGAAGUGAUUUACUCAUGGAGCUGAAGUCAGUCGAAGAUACCAGCUGGCUGCAACUGUUUAUUAAAAACACAGCACUGUGCAAACACGAAAGUGGACGUAUACGGUGUGACGCCUGCCCGGUGCCGGAAGGUUAAUUGAUGGGGUCAGCGCAAGCGAAGCUCCUGAUCGAAGCCCCGGUAAACGGCGGCCGUAACUAUAACGGUCCUAAGGUAGCGAAAUUCCUUGUCGGGUAAGUUCCGACCUGCACGAAUGGCGUAAUGAUGGCCAGGCUGUCUCCACCCGAGACUCAGUGAAAUUGAACUCGCUGUGAAGAUGCAGUGUACCCGCGGCAAGACGGAAAGACCCCGUGAACCUUUACUAUAGCUUGACACUGAACAUUGAGCCUUGAUGUGUAG
rnacentral:rRNA from 1 species